UGAUGGCAGAGUGCUAGAAAAGGCAGCAGAGGAUGCUAAGAACACUUAGACUGUCUACCAAGAUUAAUUGAGCUGUUGGUGCUCAAUGGGGAAGCUUUGUCCAAUGAUCAACCAGUUGACACAUUGCUUUGGAAACUGAACCACAGCCAUCUUGACAUUUUCGUUGUAAAUGAAACCAGAAAACAUAAAGAAAAUGCAGCCAGCUGAGGGGAAGCUUAUACAUUCUUUCUGGAGAAAUGAAUAAGAGUUUGCAGAGAGAUUUCCAUUCUGCAUUCACAGGUAAAAAGUAGUAUUUCAAGGGAUCCUUGACUACCUCAUCUUGCAAUACUUACAGUGACUGAGUUAAAAAAAACUACUCUGAAGAAAUAUGACCCAACAUUUUGCAAAGAAUGAAAUGAAGUUUUCUGGAGAAUUUGAUAACACAAUCCACAUUAAACCAAAUUUACAUUUUGAUACUCAGCAACUUUGAGCUAAAGGAUUGCAAAAUUUAUGUUAGAAAAACAUGGAUCAAGAAACAAGAAAGGCCAAAGGUUUACAUGCUACUUGGGAACCUUACAUCUAUAUCAGAAUAUUUUCUUUCAAUAAGAGCAUUAGAAGAUACUGGCUAUAAUAAGGACAAAACUUUGGAACUCACUGUCAACAGAUAGUUGCAAAAUAACUGACUACUAAAAUGGGAGUCAUUUCAGAACCCUCAAUUAGUAGUCAGAUCAUUGCUUAGGAAAAAGGCCCAAGAAAAGACAAAAGAACAAAGAUGAGAAGGCACAGAGUAUGACUAAGAAAUAGGCUAAGGGUUAUAUAAUAGAAAAUGAAAAUUACAGGAGCCUUAUAGGAUAAAAGAAAAAUACAUGGGCACUAGGAGGAACUGUAUGCCUGAAUUAGAGGUGGCUCAUGAUGCCACAGAACUCUGCGCCAAGACCACUCUGCAGGCAGUCUGAGAAAGGAGAGAAAUGAAAGCGUGGAAGUCCAGCUGGAGGCUGAGGCAGUACGUGUUCCACUAUGGUGCAGGGUUCUGGCAGAGCUGCAUGACAUGGAGAACAUGGAAGCCCAUUCCUGGACAGAUGGCAAACCUAGCAGUGGGUACUACAUCCUAUGUGAAUACUUGAACUGGGUUGGAUUCAAGUGCUCUCUUUGGCUCUAUAUUGAAUUCCCACCUCCCAUUCCUUGUGGCUCUUAACCAUUGUCCUCAUCCAUGAGCUUUAGUACUAAGGCUAUCUUGCCAAGUUUCCCAUUUCAAAUUCUUGGACCAAAUUCUCAGAUUUUAUGCCUAUGUGGGCAAAAUUAUUAUUGUACCAAAUAUUUAAGUGAGUAUAUAAUAACUCCUGUAUACUACAAAGUCCUGAAAUCUCUUAAAAGUAUUUAGAUCACAGAUUUAGAGCUGAAAAGCCUUGGAAUCCACCAAGCCCAACUUCAUGCCUCUUCUCCAUUUUAGGAGGAAAGGAAAUGAGAUGAGGUGAACUUAUGGGCCAAAUGAGAGAGGUAAACUUAUGGACCAACGUCUCAUAGAUAGUAAGACCAAACUGGAUUAAAACCAUUCCACCACAAAUGACGUUUUUAGAUUGCAUUUUACACUCACAAUAAUUCAGGCCCCAGAUACUUGUUCAAUUAUCUAUGCAUUUCAAACAAAGGAUGUGGGGGCUUAACUUUUCUGGAGAAUUAUCCCAACAUUUCACCUCAACAUUUCCUUAGAUACUCUGGCCAUCACUGAAAUACAAAGCUCAGUGUUCAGAUGUUAGGUUUGUGGUACUCAUUUCUUCUGCUUCCUCAGCUUCCUUUCUCAUGAGUCAAGUUGGACACUCACCCUGUCCCCCCAAUUACCUUUUUGUUUUUCCCUGUCUCCAGAUCUAUU